rnacentral:lncRNA from 1 species
CCUUGAACUGAUAAAUGCAAAGUUGGUAUUACACAGUAGCCAUAUAACAGCAAGAACAAGUAGAAAUAUAUAAUAAAGUUUCAAGAACAGUUUCUUCUUUCGUAGUCAUAUCCUUUUUUUCUUCUCUCUCUCUCUCUCCAUGCAGAAAUUUAUUCUAUACCAAUACAUAACUUCUAUGCUUUCAUCCCUUAACAAUAUUGUUAUAGUUGAAAGAACACUAGGCUAGCUUUAGGGAACCAGAGGAAGGAGUAGCUUACAAAGGAAAGGAUGUGGAGGAAAAGGCUUCUUGAAUGUUGGAAUGGGUGGAGGAAGAGACCUACUUGAAAAGAGGAGGGGGAAAUGGGCUCGUCGGAUAUCCUGGAAUCCGAUAUCCUGGAUCCCCAUUUUUUCGUUCCACAACUGGCACCGGCGGAUGACUCAGCUUCUUAAAAGGUGGAAUCUUGAAGAUUGGAACUGAUGGAGCGAGUGGCUUCUUGAAGAUUGGAACUGGUGGUGGAAAUGGCUUCUUUACAGUGGGAAUCUUAUGUAGAGGUGGUUUCUUGAAGGAGGGCUUCGGUGGAAAUGGCUUCUUUACAAUGGGAAUCUUAUGCACAGGUGGUUUCUUGAAGAAGGGUUUUGGUGGAAGCACUGCAAACUUCCUUUCUUCAUUGAGCUCUGCAGCCUCUGUUUGGAGCUCUUCAAUUUGGACAUGCAGGUGCACAAGAGAUGCAGAAGAAUGUCAUUAUGUGAUCUCAAGACUAAUAUAUAAUAACACACAUAUAAAUAUAUAUCUCACCUGAAAAAGCUUUGUCUAGUACUACUUGUUCUCCAGCGACCUCAACAGUCUUUCCAUUGCUGUAGCAGAAGCUUACCGCAAACAAGCAGAACCAGAGCCCCAGAAGAGCUCCUUGGAAAGCAAGACGGGUCUGCAUUGAAACCCUUCUUAAUAAGCUGCCACUUAUAGAAGUGCUUAAUCCAACUUUUAAAAUUUGGUUAAGCUAGCUUUGGUGCUU